UCUCACACGGGUACAAUAAUAUUUAACGUGGCGGGAACCGCGCAAUUACUAUCAAAUGCCUAAAUAUACACGAAUAACGGCUUUGUUAAUAUUACGUCCGUUAAAACGUUCCGAUUUUUACACGGUAAAGUGCAUUAAAACACGAAUACAUUAAAAGAUAACACGUGGAUUUUCCGACCGCCGGUACUUUAUUUGCAACGCUUGUGGACGUUUUUUUUUUUUUUUUUUGUCAAAGAUGCGGGGAAUCGACACUAAUACUUCUCCGUUCAUAAUCGUUUUUUUUUUUUUUUCGUUUUCGAUGAUUUAUCGUUGCGCACAGUAUAUUAUAUUUUACCGAAUUGUGUAUGUUACACAUUCCCAAACUCACGGUGAUCCGCCUACAAUUACAGUGACCUACUCGUGAUCGAUAUCAAUAUUAUUUG